CAGUUGGGGAAUACUUGCACAAUGGGGGAAACCCUGAUGCAGUCCAUGCCGCGUGUGUGAAGAAGGCCUUCGGGUUGUAAAGCACUUUCAGUAGGGAGGAAGGUAGUGUAGUUAACACCUGCACUAUUUGACGUUACCUACAGAAGAAGCACCGGCUAACUCCGUGCCAGCAGCCGCGGUAAUACGGAGGGUGCGAGCGUUAAUCGGAAUUACUGGGCGUAAAGCGCAUGCAGGCGGCCUGUUAAGUCAGAUGUGAAAGCCCGGGGCUUAACCUCGGAAUUGCAUUUGAAACUGGCAGGCUAGAGUCUUGUAGAGGGGGGUAGGAAUUUCAGGUGUAGCGGUGAAAUGCGUAGAGAUCUGAAGGAAUACCAGUGGCGAAGGCGGCCCCCUGGACAAAGACUGACGCUCAGACUGCGAAAGCGUGGGGAGCCAAACAGGAUUAGACUACCCCUGGUAG
rnacentral:rRNA from 1 species